rnacentral:antisense_RNA from 1 species
GUGGAUCAUAAGUGUUCGAAAGUGGCUCAUAAAACUUCAAAAGUGGAUCACAAAUCUCAAAAACUCGCUCAUAUAUGCUCAAAAUUGGCGCAUUAAUCAGGACAAUAAAAAACCGCAUUGGAUGUUUUCCAAUGCGGAUUAACUUGCUUUCUCUUUUUCAGGUUUUAUGGCCAUAAAUGUGGCUAGUGUGGCAAGGAUGCUUAAGCCGCUUAAAAGAAAAAAUAAUGAAUGUUCGGUGUUCUUCAUAAGAAUGGCAAUGGCGGGAGGGCCUGCUGCAACCCCUACAAACCGCAUGGAACUGUAGAUCGAAGUGAUUGUUCCUCUUUGCUCCUUUUCAAUCCCUUCUGUUAUCAAUGCAUCAAG